CCGUCAGCUGAUGAAGGUGUUCGUUUACAUUUGGUGUGCGAAAAGUUAUUUUGACCAAGGCGUAUCUCUUAUCUGGGUUAAUAUGUCCUGUAUUAUAUAGCAUCCUCUUGAUCUGUUGAGUAUAUAAUCAAAUUAUAUUGUAUUAAAUUCAAGAUAUUACUUUAAAUACAUGUGCAGCUCGCAUUGAUGUUACCACGUUGCUGACGUAGAGUACCAACCUCCCAAAUUUUGUCCAGUACCGAUGAAUAUAUCAACUAAAUUAAUAUAUAAAACUUGUAAUUUUUUCUAGAGACAAAUCGCAAAAAAAUAUAAAAAACAUGCAAAGAAGACGAUAUGAGAUUGUAAAUAUAAGAUGUUGCGCACAAAAUAACACAACGUUAAGCAGCCGAGAUGUUUUCUAUUCCAAGAUCUAUAUCAGAAGAUAGACUGAGAAAGCCAUUAAAUCUGGUGAAACUGUGAAUCUGACCAUUCAGAUGGGCAUAUUCCAAAUUACUUUUGAUAGUGAAAUGAAAAAAAUAACUUGUUUUUAUGUACAGAUUCGUGCCCAUCAGGAGAUUAUUUAUGAAAUUAGCAUUCGGUUUGGCUGAGCAUCUAAAGUUGCCUUAGCACUUAAAUAAGAAACACCAAAUUACUGGAAAGCAAUUUUAAUACGACUUUUCGACUCAUCAUCAGAACUCCAGAGCCCACAAGUCUUCAGAGAGCUUUAGGAUUUACGAAACAUCAAAUAGAUCGCUUCUUUAAUGGAUAAUUCGAGCUACUUUCUAAAUACAAUUUUACAGUCAAUAGAAUAUACAACUGUGAUAAGACUGGGAUCACAAUUAUUGUUCAUGAUAAUGAUGCCAAAGUGAUCUGAUAGAAGGGGAAAAGGCAAGACGCAUGCCGAUUAGCAUUGAGUUAUCGACCUAUCGCAAUGCUGUCGACCAUUGCGAAGUAUGAAACACAAUCAAAUGCGCUACAGAAACAUGGUUGUUCCGGACGAAGCCCGCGAAGCCAGGCGGAGUCGAAGCGGCCCGAGCGGCCCCGAUGUAUUGCCGUCCGGCGCGCAGGAAUCGAACAUUGCGCGCCCCUGGAGUUCGCUUCGAGCCUUGGCCGAGGACGGACGCGUCAAGCGGAGCUGCGAGAUUCCAGGAACAGCCUGUUUGCUCGCACACAGGCCAGGUGGUAUUCCCAGGUUUUUUCUAAGAAGUGUAAGCGUGCAAAACAACCCGGGUUGUAGCUAACCCUACAGCCUAGCCACAACCCGGCUUAAUACCGGGUGCGUGGUCAGUGGGUGUUAGUGCGUUGUAGGGUGUAACUAGCGACAUGACUGACCAGUUAAGUGACGAGCAGGUGAUGCAGGAGUGCAUCGAUGUGCCCCUGCCGAGCGACGACGAACAAGAAAUGUCUAGCGACGACGGCUUUACAACAGUCGUCUCAAAAAAACAAAAAACGGGAGGAAAGGACGAAAGACUGCGCCCCCCACUGACGAACCCCGCGAUCGCAAGGCAGCAGGCCGAGUGACUUCGCAAGCAGCCCGUCAGAAGGGCAAACAACUCGGCCAAUCAAACGGCCGCCAACACGUCCGCAGGUUCGAGCCCUGCCCCGCCAAACCCUGCCCCUCAGGCAAAGAAAAUGCAGGUGAAACCCCUGUAUGUAUUUGUUGAUUCUGGCCACAGCUACCCGGCCAUUAAAACAGUGCUGGAUGCAGCACUGCAGGAGCGCUGGUCGUGCGUCAGUCGCGGCCAUGACCAGCUCAUGAUUCACACUGCCACUGUGGAGGAGUACCACAGGGCAGUGCGUGCACUGGAGCAGGCCGGAGUGCAACACUCUGUGCUGCUGCAA